AUGAGGUCACUGGACAUGGCAGUCAGGAGGGCCUUGGUAACCUCUGUCUGGAUAGUAGGUAUGUAGCUUCCCCACAGCUCAUCAACAGCUGGGACAUCAUGAGUUCCUGGUGAGCUAAAGAGCCCAGCUGCCCCUCAGAUGGGGACUCUUCCCAGACCAGGGCUGAUUUAAGCUUCUCCUCAUCUCCAGAGCUUGGCCCUGUUAAGCAACAUUUGGUAGAAAAAAACAAAGCAGGUGGAAUGAGCCAUCCAGGCUUUAUGCCUCCUGGACUAGCUGGAGACCCCUCGGCAAGUCACCUCACCAUCCGGAGCCCAACUCCUCACCUGUGCGACAGGAACAUAACACAGACCUCUUCUGAGCAUCAGAAGCAAUCUGAGGGCUGGGCCACAUUCUGUCAACUGUAAGGUUUCAUGGGACCAUUUCUGGCUGUGGCUACAACCACUGCCAGUCACAUGGGGCUAACGCUGCUGCUGGAGACACAGGGCUUCUAGCCUUGCUCACAGAGCUCAAGCCUCCUCACUUCUUUGUGUAAGGCUCUCUAAUUGUCCUCUGCACCAUGUCUUCACAUAGGAAGCCACAGGCCCAGCAUAGCAGCCAACUGGCUGACUAAACUCCCACAAUACACAGGUGCCCAGAAGGCCAACAAUAAGGUGUUAGUUCUUGCAAACAGGCAAGUACAGUGUCCUUUCCAGGAAGCUUCAGGAAAGAGAGGAUGGAAGAAG